UUGAACUGAAGAGUUUGAUCCUGGCUCAGAUUGAACGCUGGCGGCAUGCCUUACACAUGCAAGUCGAACGGCAGCACGGGUGCUUGCACCUGGUGGCGAGUGGCGAACGGGUGAGUAAUACAUCGGAACAUGUCCUGUAGUGGGGGAUAGCCCGGCGAAAGCCGGAUUAAUACCGCAUACGAUCCACGGAUGAAAGCGGGGGACCUUCGGGCCUCGCGCUAUAGGGUUGGCCGAUGGCUGAUUAGCUAGUUGGUGGGGUAAAGGCCUACCAAGGCGACGAUCAGUAGCUGGUCUGAGAGGACGACCAGCCACACUGGGACUGAGACACGGCCCAGACUCCUACGGGAGGCAGCAGUGGGGAAUUUUGGACAAUGGGCGAAAGCCUGAUCCAGCAAUGCCGCGUGUGUGAAGAAGGCCUUCGGGUUGUAAAGCACUUUUGUCCGGAAAGAAAUCCUUGGCUCUAAUACAGUCGGGGGAUGACGGUACCGGAAGAAUAAGCACCGGCUAACUACGUGCCAGCAGCCGCGGUAAUACGUAGGGUGCAAGCGUUAAUCGGAAUUACUGGGCGUAAAGCGUGCGCAGGCGGUUUGCUAAGACCGAUGUGAA
rnacentral:rRNA from 1 species